CCUACGGGAGGCAGCAGUGAGGAAUAUUGGUCAAUGGACGAGAGUCUGAACCAGCCAAGUAGCGUGAAGGAUGACUGCCCUAUGGGUUGUAAACUUCUUUUAUAUGGGAAUAAAAUGUUCCACGUGUGGGAUUUUGUAUGUACCAUAUGAAUAAGGAUCGGCUAACUCCGUGCCAGCAGCCGCGGUAAUACGGAGGAUCCGAGUGCUAUCCGGAUUUAUUGGGGUUAAAGGGAGCGUAGGUGGAUUGUUAAGUCAGUUGUGAAAGUUUGCGGCUCAACCGUAAAAUUGCAGUUGAAACUGGCAGUCUUGAGUACAGUAGAGGUGGGCGGAAUUCGUGGUGUAGCGGUGAAAUGCUUAGAUAUCACGAAGAACUCCGAUUGCGAAGGCAGUUCACUGGACUGCAACUGACACUGAGGCUCGAAAGUGUGGGUAUCAAACAGGAUUAGAUACCCUUGUAGUC
rnacentral:rRNA from 1 species